UUGGAGCCYUGAAGCUGCCAUKCUCUCUACUGUUAAUGGAAUUGGCCAGGUGAUCCCUUUGUAGGGUUAAAGGAUGGCGAGCUUCUGAAAACUGGCUGGGGCCAGGAGAACCUGAGAAUCACUCCAUACUGGUCUGGUAGGAGGCUGGUCUGUAUCAUUUCCCCCUCCAUCUCACCAUUCGGACACACAAUCCACUAUUCAUCUCUUCAUCUGAAACGACUUGCGCUAGGACAUUGUCAUCUCAAAUAUCUGGACAAUUCAACCAUGGAYUUUUUGAAUGUGUGUAGGUCAGACACUGUGCUGACCAGUGGGGAAAUUUAAAACGGUUGUGCACAAAUGCACGAAAGAUCUACUGCAGUACUGUGUAUAUUUAAUUUGGGGUUCUAUGUAUGUUUGUCUUGUGCUGUUCACUUUAAUUUUCUCUUUAAAAAUACAUGGUAUUGAAAGCA